GUGUCAGCCGCCGCGGUAAUACGGAGGGUGCGAGCGUUAAUCGGAAUUACUGGGCGUAAAGCGUGCGUAGGCGGCUCGUUAAGUCAGAUGUGAAAGCCCUGGGCUCAACCUGGGAACUGCAUUUGAAACUGGCGAGCUAGAGUUGAGUAGAGGGGAGUGGAAUUUCAGGUGUAGCGGUGAAAUGCGUAGAUAUCUGAAGGAACACCAGUGGCGAAGGCGACUCCCUGGACUCAAACUGACGCUGAGGUACGAAAGCGUGGGUAGCAAACAGGAUUAGAAACCCUUGUAGUCC
rnacentral:rRNA from 1 species